rnacentral:rRNA from 1 species
ACAGAGGGUGCGAGCGUUGUCCGGAAUCACUGGGCGUAAAGGGUGCGUAGGUGGCAAGGUAAGCGUGUGGUGAAAGUCCGGGGCUCAACCCCGGAUCUGCCGUGCGAACUGCCUAGCUUGAGCAAUGUAGAGGCAGGUGGAAUUUCGGGUGUAGCGGUGGAAUGCGUAGAUAUCCGAAAGAACACCAGUGGCGAAGGCGGCCUGCUGGGCAUUUGCUGACACUGAGGCACGACAGCGUGGGGAGCAAACAGGAUUAGAUACCCUGGUAGUCCACGCCGUAAACGAUGGGUACUAGGUGUCUGGGGGAGCGACCCCCUGGGUGCCGGCGCUAACGCAUGAAGUACCCCGCCUGGGGAGUACGGCCGCAAGGCUG